AAGCUUCCUACGUUCUCCUGGAGUUGGUGGUUUAUGAAUGUGGUGCCAUCUGGGGAACUGACAACCCCUGAUGUGUUCACUCUGCUCGUCUUCCAGAAACACAUUGGAAGCUAAUCCCCAAGACUUUGAGAGAAGUCACACAAGAAAGUCUGACUUUGCUGGAAGAUCUUUAACCUGCUUCAAGCCUUGGAUGUCAUCUGAUCACUGCUCCUGAUUUCUUUAUCCUUGGACUGCAGUUAGAGACUCGGCUGCUAUAAAGUGAAUUACUCUUGAAUAAGGGCAUAGUUUCCACUGUGAUAACCUUGUUUCUAUCCAUGACAGCUAGGGAACCUGCAGCCUGAGAAUGCUUUGCUUGGUAGCAGGUGUAAUGUAGUUUUGACUAAAAUUCUAUUGAAGAAAACUCUCUGAGCUUGUCCCCAGACAAUUUAUGUCAGCAGAAGAAAUAAAUAAAGAAAUAAUAACAGAGUAUAUUAUUUGAAUUUGUUGCAGUGGGGUAUAUUGUUUUAUGACAAAAAAACAAGUAACAAUUUUUAGUUGCACACUUCUAGGUCACCUUAAUGGUUGGUUCCGGCACAAAAUUUAAUAUAAGAAAAUGUGAAAGCUCCUCCCCUAACUUCUGCCAAACCUCUCCUGUGUGGUUAACUGCUGCUUUCAUGUCCCCUGUCACUGAGAGGACUUUGGUAGUCAUAUUUCGUUUCUCUGUAAUUCCCAUAUGUACUUGCCUUAAGUUAAAAACAACCAAGCAUACAUUCUCCUUUGCUUUGUAGGAGGUGGUGCCCAGAGUUCAUAAACUGAAUUUAAAUUAUACCAAAAGAGAUCUUCAAACUAUGAAGAAAGCCUAGUAUAUGAAUGUUUGCUCACAAAGACCAAGUAAAGCUACUGUAUUGCAGAGGAACCAACAGUUUAGUAUAAUCCAAUUCAACUUGCAAGCAAUCAUUAAUUAUUUUCUGGGUUUAUUAUAUCAUUAAUGGCUAUAAAUAAGCCAUGUAUUUCAGUUGAAAGGAAUCAAUUCUACCUUUAAAUCAAAUCUGAAGUAGAGGAAGGGGAAAAAGAAGAAGAGGAAGAGAAGGAGGAAGAAGAAGAAAAACAAGAACAUGAAGAAGAAGGAGGGGGAGAGGUGAGGAGAAGAAAAAGAGGUAGUGGAAAAAUAAGGAAGAGAAUAGAAGGGAGAGGGAUAACAAUGACACCAGCUGUUAAAAAAUCAAAAAGUGGAUCUGUUAGUCCUCCCUCCCUCUCAGGCACCCAAUCUCAGGUGUUGCUAGACAGAGGACAGCAAGACCCUUCUAAUUUCCCACCCCAGCAAUACACCCAAGUGCCAUCUCUUCCUGAAAUGCUAGAAGGGAGCUAACAUUCACUGGGCUCCUCUUACAAUCAUUUACAUUCUUUGGUACUUUACAUGGCUUAGAUGUAUAGUUCCAUUUAAUUCUCAAACAAUGGUAUAAGGUAGACAAUGUUAUUUCCAUAUUUAUAGAUUAAGUUCAAGAGGUUGAAAAAUUUGCCCUAGGUAACACAGCUAACAAGAGAGGAACUGGCAUUGAACUCUGCAUGUCUGGAUUGCCAAACCUAGACUUGUUCCAUCAUCUCACAUGCACUUCACCUUCUCUGCUCUGCCGGGAGAUUGAUCUGGUAUCUCCUCUGCAACCUGGUAAGCCUGUCUGUCUGGCACAGCUUAUCCAAAAAGGGUCUCCUAAUACCAAUCUUUGUUCCCAUACAUUGUUGGUGAGUCCCAGCCCAAGCAAGGGCAAUUUGCUUUUGCAGGUUACUUUCCCAAAGUGGCUAUGCAUUUGUGUUUCUUACCGCUGAACAUAAGACAGUCCAUUGUUCAGGCAUAAACCCCAACCCGAGACAACUGGGUACAUUGAUAGUUACCACACAGAUGAAAAAACUUUGAUGGAAAGGGCAAACACUGGGAAACCCGUGGAAAAUUGGUUUCAUGUGGUUUGAUUACACUGGCUCAAAAUAUCCCUUUUUCCUGAUCAGAUCAGAAAUUGAUAUGUGUGUUGCUAUUCUGAGCUAUGAGUCUGAGUAUUUUUUUUUAAUGAUGUAGGGACUCUUCCUUUGAAUAUCCGUAGGCCCUUUAAAUGAGAUGGAAGAAAAUCUUCCAGUAUUGUCACACUUGAUAUAAUAUUUUUCAAGGAGAGACUGCCAGGGUGAGGAUGUACCCUCACAACCCACAGUAAGGAGAAAAGCAAAAGAAAUUGGAGGAGAAAAGACUUAAAUGUGCUGAGGGCUGAUUCUGACUCUGUGCUAGGCACUUGGUUUGCCACUUGGCUAACUUUAUUUUCUUCAUUCCUCUCAACAACCCGGUGAAGUAUAAACAUUCUACCUGCACACCACCCCACUAUCACCACCAUCACCAUCACCACUGCCACCACCAUCACCACCAUUACCAUGAAGACUGAAGGAGCAAUACUCCAUGUAGAGUCCAGUAGCUGUUGCGUGAUGGAGCUGAGAACUGAAAUCAUAUCUCCUUGGGCUGUUUUCACUACACUGCACAAUCUCCUAAUGAGCAGGGCUCUGUUUUUGGCCUGAGGAAUGAAAGAGUGACAAGACAUACUCUGUGUGUGUGUGUCCUGUAUUCAAGAGGCUUAAAAUCUAGUUAGGAGACAAAUUUAAAAGGUCAGUAGCAACCGAUGCUUGCAAAAAUGCUGAGCCCAACAAAGGUACAGAAGUCCAGAGGAGCCACUGAUUACAAAGACCCCAAGUGGUAGAGGCGUUCUCAUGAAGGACAGAGACUUGGGUAGGGCUUAGAAAAGAAAGCCAAGGACUUACAGACAUGGAGAAGAGGCCAACAGCUGUCCCAGAAGGCAGGUCACCUUGAGCUAAGAAUACACAUGCUGUUUUUAGGGAACAAAGUGAGUGGCUGUGGCUGCUAUUAUUUCAGAGGUAAGCAUGGAGCGAGAGUUAAGAAAUGCCCCUUUGGAAGGUAUGUUAGACCCUUGCUCCUCAAAGUGUGGUCCGAGUACCAGUGCUGUCACCAUCACCUGAGUGUUUGUUAGAAAUGCAGAAUCUGGUUGAGUGCAGUGGCUCAAGCCUGUAAUCCCAGCACUUUGGGAGGCCAAGGUGGGAGGACUGCUUGAGCUCAGGAGUUCCAGACCAGCCUGGGCAACACAGUAAGACCACAGUGAGACCUCAUUUCUAUUAAAAAAAAAAAAAAAAGAAAGAAAGAAAUGCAGAAUCUUGAGCCCUGCCCCCAACCCACUGAAUUUGAAUGUGCAUUUUUACAUAGUUUCCCAUAUGAUUUGGAGGCACAAUGAAAGUUUGAGAAGAACUUCUUUAAAGAAGGAGGUUCACUCCUCUCAUUUUUCUUCCUUUAGAUACCAAAAUAAGGCUGAAGAGGACUUGAAGAGGACUAGAAUGUCUUCUUUCUGCCACUCUGUCCUCUUUUUCCCGUCUCUCCCGGCUCUUUGUGUAGAGGCCUAGGUGGCUGUUGGUAAACUCAGGGCCUUUCGUGGUGCUCCCUUUCUGCUGCUUUGCCUAAAACCCAGCAUUCUUUUUCUGAAACUUCUGUGUGUCAUGUUUCUUCCUUUUCACUGGUACUCACUGAUCUGUGAAUGUCACACUCGAGAAUGUGGAGCAAAUUUGUUUUGAACCCAAAUAUCUACAACACAGAACAAUUCAAUUGCCUUCCCAGGAGUCAGCCCUAAAGAAUUGGCCUAUGUGUAAAUGUGCCUGACCUGAGCAUAAAAGACUGUUCCCUGUUACUAGCACCACCCAAAUUCAGCAGUGGGCUUUGGAAGGACAGGGCUGCCCUCAAUGGACCUGCUUGGAUUCAGAACACCUUGAGAAGAGAGAGGCAGUUACAAAGUUGGGGCCCUGCCUUGUGGUUCACUCCAUUUGUUCUAUCUAAAAUCUGAAUUCCCAUUGGUUUUUUAUCAGUUCUUGGAUGCGGGACCACAACUACCAUUUGGAAAGAUUUCAGGCUCAGGAGAGGCAAGGGAAAAAGAAAUGUGUACAAAAACUGAGCGCUCUUCUAGUUUCCAGAUCCGACAAGUGAACAGCUUGGAAGUUGUCAUCCUUAUCUACAAAAGAAAAAAAAAACUGAACAAACUGAAAACUGGAAACUCUUCUUAGAACCUUCAGAGAAUUGAGGUCACAGGCCGAACUGCCUCCCAGACAACAGGGGAGUCAGACGGAUGGAUACAGAGAAUUUCAGUUUACCAGGAGCAGAAGCCAGGAAACUGAGCAGUAAUUGACAAAUUGCUGUAAGCUGUGUGUGGACAAGUUUGAGACUUAAAAACUCCCGGGGUGCCCAAUCACAGGGGCCUCCCCAUACCUUCCUGAGUUGUACCUCCAGGAGUAACAUCAGGUUUCCACUAUGGAACCUGAAGAAAAAUUCUCUCCUCUUUCCCUUUGGGGUUGAGGGGUUGGGAUGGAGAAAUAGCCGUGUUGAAAUAAGCCCGGAGCUCUCUGUUCUCCUUAAGAAGGAUUUCCUUCAAGGGAAAAUACUUUAUAAGAACCCAUCCCACGGGGGUUUUACCAGGGGCCUCACCGACCUGGGAAAGGGAAAUACCCAACUCAGGCUCACUAAAAGACAGAUCUAAUCACAGGGCUGUAGAAUUCUUUCUCUCCCCCCACACAGUACCAACACAGCAACGAUGCUCCGAGUAAAUAACAAGGGAUUACAGCUCACAGAAUUGCAAGCCUCAGUCCCUAUGUCAGGAGUCUCUAGGAAAAUUCAAGCACAACAGGGGAGAUAAAAGCAAGGGCACGGGAAAUUUUAGCCCCUGAUACCACAGCUACAGCAAAUGGUAAAACCACAGCC